rfam:Ipomoea nil DNA, scaffold: scaffold3322, cultivar: Tokyo-kokei standard.
GCCUUCUUUGCUCAGUGGUAGAGCGCGUGGCUUUUAACCACGUGGUCGUGGGUUCGUUCCCCACAGACGGUG